AAUCAACGCUGGCGGCGUGCCUCAGACAUGCAAGUCGAACGCGAACAUUUUCUUCGGAAGAUAAGUAGAGUGGCGCACGGGUGAGUAAUACGUAAGUUAUCUACCUUUAGGUUAGGGAUACCAAUCGGAAACGAUUGCUAAUACCUAAUGAUACAACUUCCUAUCAAUAGUAGUUGUUAAAGCGAGGGGUAACUCUCGCGCCAAAAGAAGGAGCUUACGGCAGAUUAGCUGUUGGAAGGUAAUGGCUUACCAAGGACAACGAAUCUGUAGCCGGCCUGAGAGGGGCGGUCGGCCACACUGACACUGAAUAACGGGUCAGACUCC
rnacentral:rRNA from 1 species